GACGAACGCUGGCGGCGUGCUUAACACAUGCAAGUCGAGCGGUAAGGCCCUUUCGGGGGUACACGAGCGGCGAACGGGUGAGUAACACGUGGGUGACCUGCCCUCAGCUCUGGGAUAAGCCUGGGAAACUGGGUCUAAUACCGGAUAUGACUCCAUGACGCAUGUCGUGGGGUGGAAAGCCUUGUGCGGCUGAGGAUGGGCCCGCGGCCUAUCAGCUUGUU
rnacentral:rRNA from 1 species